GAACAUAUUAAUUAUUAUCCUUCCAAGCUUACUCAACUGCUUUUGACUACGAUGAGGAAGGAGAACAACUAGAACAUCCUACGUCGACGUAGGCUCCGGCACCAUUGGUUAAGAUAGACAUAUUUAAUGUAAUGAACCUAAAUCCAAUUCCAAAACUGAUGCCUAUUUAUCGCCCCUUUUCGGCUCCGAAUCUAGAAGAAUCUCCCUGCUGAGGCUCUGAUUCCUAGAAGGUAACGAGAAUUUCUGGUAUUUAGAGAAUUUGCAGAAACUCUCCAAUCUUUUGGAAAAGAGCUGAGAACUGAUAUUGGCAAGUGAUUUGAAGUCGAUAUGAUUUUAGAUUUGAUUUCUCUGUUUACAUCCCCAAUUUUGAGGCUGAAACGUUGAUUGAUUUGUUCAAUUUCUUCAAAUGAUGUUUUUCUCACUCUAAUUCUACAAUGUUCGCUACAAUGUCGAGAUUAGAUCUUUUUAUUCUGUGGUGUUAUAUUGUUAAUGCAAUAAAGUAUGGAAAGAAAGACGAAAUGAUGGAGUUUAGGGGGAUAAUUGGGAAUGAUUUGUUAAUGAGAGAUCGAAAUUGGUGUUCAUGGUUUGGUGGGUCUUUUUGUCCUUGGUUAUUUGAUUGAUUUCUUCUUCUUUUUCCAGGCAUUUACAAUCUCUCUCCAUUUCCUCUUCCAGCUUCUUGCACGCUCUAUAAGAUAAAGAAAAAAGUUUAACUCAAACUUGUGUGUUUUACUCUCUUUAAGCAAUCUUGAAUGAUAUUUUACUGUACUUAAUCUAAGCUAAGCUCUAGCAACUUAAUGAAGUUAAAUUUCUCAUGGAUUGAUGUGAUCAUGUCUAUAUAUAGAUUAUAUGCCUAUCUGUGUGAUUUGAGUAUGAUUUGAAUUUGUGCAGAUAGAGAAUUGUGCCAAUGGGGCAUUUAUCGUCGAUGUUCAAUGGAUUAGCAAGGACCCUUUGGACCAAGAAAAUGAAGAGUUUGAAGAACGAUUGUGGGAAUUCUGAUGCUAGAGAAAUCUAUGAUAAAAAAAUGCAAAAAAGAAUGACUUGAUACGAAGAUCAUCAGGCAUUAUCAAUGUCAAUGGGUCGAAGAAUUUUGCUUCUGUUUGGGAGGUAUAUUUAGCUAUGAAAAUGUGGCUUUCUUUGAGGGUUCUUGGUGAUAAAUAGGUUGUUUAAUUUACUGUUGUAGGAAUUUGGAUGCCAAGAAGAGAUGAUAUUCUGUGGGAUAUUUGAUAGACACGGUCCGUGGGGACAUUUUGUCGCGAAGAGAGUUAGAGAGUCAUUGUCAUCGUCUCUUCUUUGUAAUUGGCAAGAAACGCUUGUUGAAGCUUCACUUGAUCCAUAUUUUGAUAUGGAAUUAGAUAAAAAGGUUUAUAAAGUUUAGGGUGAUAAUUGAGAAUGAUUUAUUGAUAAGAGAUCGAAAUUGGUGUUCGUG
rnacentral:lncRNA from 1 species